UAUGGCCACAUCACGCUGAAGCACCACUUCUCGUACGAUCGUCGAAGUUCAGCAACGUCGAGCCUGGUCAAUACCUAGAUGGGUAACCGCUUGCAAAUACCACGUGCUGUAAG